GGCAAUCAAACACAUGGAAUAAUAGUAAUACAGGCAUGUUCCUAUACUUGAGCAUAGUGGAUAGACUCACGUUUGUGGUUUCAGACGUCAAUAGAUAGUAGAUAGUGGGUUAGUGUGCUUAAUUUUCAGGACAAUGUGGUUAAGUCGACAGUUAAGGCGGUGGAUCAAAUAAACGGCAGCUCUAUAAAUGGUGAUCAACCAUCUUACGUGUAUAAACACACAAUACACUUUGGAAAAUCCAUUUUUUCUGUUUUUUCAGUAAAUUUAGUUUACACUACAACAAUUAGCUUGUUACACCGACUUUUGUCUUAGUUAUUUUUUGUGACACUUAGUUACAUUGAUUUUACAACUUGUUACUUCCAUUUGUACUUAAUUGUGUAUUCAAUCUUGGAUCUACAACUUGUUACGUCCAUUCGGACUUAGUUGCAUAUUCAACUCCAG
rnacentral:lncRNA from 1 species